rnacentral:rRNA from 1 species
AGGACGAACGCUGGCGGCGUGCUUAACACAUGCAAGUCGAGCGGAAAGGCCCUUCGGGGUACUCGAGCGGCGAACGGGUGAGUAACACGUGGGCAACCUGCCCUUAGCUCUGGGAUAGCUCCGGGAAACCGGAAUUAAUACCGGAUAUGACCUAGGCCGACAUCGGCCGUGGUGGAAAGUUUUUCGGCUAGGGAUGGACUCGCGGCCUAUCAGCUAGUUGGUGGGGUAAUGGCCUACCAAGGCGACGACGGGUAGCCGGCCUGAGAGGGCGACCGGCCACGACUGGGACUGAGACACGGCCCAGACUCCUACGGGAGGCAGCAGUGGGGAAUCUUGCGCAAUGGGCGAAAGCCUGACGCAGCGACGCCGCGUGGGGGAUGAAGGCCUUCGGGUUGUAAACCCCUUUCAGCAGGGACGAAGCGAAAGUGACGGUACCUGCAGAAGAAGCGCCGGCUAACUACGUGCCAGCAGCCGC